rnacentral:rRNA from 1 species
AGACUCGUAGCAGAUAGCUCAGUAACACGUGGCCAAACUACCCUAUGGAUCCGAAUAACCUCGGGAAACUGAGGCUAAUGCGGAAUAGCGUUCAUCGCCUGGAGUGGCACGAACGCGAAACGUUACGGCGCCAUAGGAUGUGGCUGCGGCCGAUUAGGUAGACGGUGGGGUAACGGCCCACCGUGCCCAUAAUCGGUACGGGUUGUGAGAGCAAGAGCCCGGAGACGGUAUCUGAGACAAGAUACCGGGCCCUACGGGGCGCAGCAGGCGCGAAACCUUUACACUGCACGCGAGUGCGAUAAGGGGACUCCGAGUGCGAGGGCAUAUAGUCCUCGCUUUUCACGACCGUAAGGUGGUCGUAGAAUAAGUGCUGGGCAAGACCGGUGCCAGCCGCCGCGGUAAUACCGGCAGCACGAGUGAUGACCGCUAUUAUUGGGCCUAAAGCGUCCGUAGCUGGCCACGCAAGUCUAUCGGGAAAUCCGCGCGCUUAACGCGCGGGCGUCCGGUGGAAACUGCGUGGCUUGGGACCGGAAGACCAGAGGGGUACGUCCGGGGUAGGAGUGAAAUCCCGUAAUCCUGGACGGACCACCGGUGGCGAAAGCGCCUCUGGAAGACGGAUCCGACGGUGAGGGACGAAAGCUCGGGUCACGAACCGGAUUAGAUACCCGGGUAGUCCGAGCUGUAAACGAUGUCUGCUAGGUGUGGCACAGGCUACGAGCCUGUGCUGUGCCGUAGGGAAGCCGUGAAGCAGACCGCCUGGGAAGUACGUCCGCAAGGAUGAAACUUAAAGGAAUUGGCGGGGGAGCACUACAACCGGAGGAGCCUGCGGUUUAAUUGGACUCAACGCCGGACAUCUCACCAGCAUCG